rnacentral:rRNA from 1 species
AUGGAGUACAACCUCCAUGCGGCGAGCCUCUGGGUUCCCAUGCAGGACGACCUGGUCGAGAGAAAGGAGGACAGGAAAGCAGUGGCGGCACUCAUGCACGCCACGCCGCCGGAGAUGCACGGCAUGCUCGCGGCGAAGGCAAGCGCCAAGGAGGCGUGGGAAGCCAUCCGUACCCAGCGCCUCGGCAGCAACCGCGUGCGCAAGGGGGGCGAGCUCGUCGACGACUUCGCCAUGCGGAUCUCCAGCCUUGCGUCACAACUCCGAGCGCUCGGCGACACCAUGGACGACGCGAGAGUCGUGCGAAAAUUUCUCCACGUCGUGCCACCUCGCUUCGCUCAGGUAGCAAUCUCCAUCGAGACUUUGCUUGACCAGAGUGAGCUCUCCAUCGAGGAGCUCAUGGGCCGGUUGCGGGUGGUCGAGGACCGCCUUGAGGACGGCCGUGAGAUCUUCGGAGGAGAACAACUCCUAUUCUCAAAGAAGUGGGAGGCGAGUAAGCGUCAAGGAUGUGGUGGAGGUGCCCCGAGCAACGGAGGCGACACCGGCAGAGGCGGUGGUCGCACCCAGGGCGGUGCCGGACGAGGUGCCGGCAACGACGACCGAGACAAGUGCCGAUAUUGCAGCAUCAAGGGCCACUGGGCCCGUGAGUGCCGCAAGAGGAUGGCUGAUGAGGAUGCCGCAGCGGCGGCAAAUCUCGUGCAGGCUGAAGAGGACGGUGAGCCAGCAAUGAUGAUGGCUUGCGUCGAGACCAUGCAGGAGGGUGCAGCGCCUCCGGAGACCAUGGUCCCGACAAGCAUUGAAGUCGUGCAGGAGGGCGCAGCACCUCCGGUGACCACGGUGCCGGGAACUGUCAAGUCCGUGUGGGAGGCACGGAGCUCUUCAAGGAAUCCCCUCCCGACAUCGAUAGCGCUCUCCCCAACAACAACGUUCUCGGGAGACUACGAUUGGGAGGAGAUGAAGACCCAGGUGUGGGGGAGUGAUAACCCACAAGUAUAG